UACGUAGGGGUGCGAGCGUUGUCCGGAAUUACUGGGCGUAAAGAGCUCGUAGGUGGUUUGUCGCGUUGUCCGUGAAAUUCCCUGGCUUAACUGGGGGGCGUGCGGGCGAUACGGGGCAGACUGGAGUACUGCAGGGGGAGACUGGAAUUCCUGGUGUAGCGGUGGAAUGCGCAGAUAUCAGGGAGGGAACACCGGUGGGCAAAAGG
rnacentral:rRNA from 1 species